rnacentral:rRNA from 1 species
CCUACGGGUGGCAGCAGUGGGGAAUAUUGCGCAAUGGGCGAAAGCCUGACGCAGCGACGCCGCGUGAGGGAUGAAGGUCUUCGGAUCGUAAACCUCUGUCAGCAGGGAAGAACGGUCACUGUGCUAAUCAGCAGUGAAUUGACGGUACCUGCAAAGGAAGCACCGGCUAACUCCGUGCCAGCAGCCGCGGUAAUACGGAGGGUGCGAGCGUUAAUCGGAAUUACUGGGCGUAAAGCGCUCGUAGGCGGUAUGUCAAGUCAAGGGUGAAAUCCCCGCGCUCAACGUGGGAACUGCCUUUGAAACUGGCAAACUGGGGUGUGUGAGAGGAUAGUGGAAUUCCAGGUGUAGGAGUGAAAUCCGUAGAUAUCUGGAGGAACAUCAGUGGCGAAGGCGACUAUCUGGCACAUAACUGACGCUGAGGAGCGAAAGCGUGGGUAGCAAACAGGAUUAGAUACCCUUGUGUC